rnacentral:lncRNA from 1 species
AGUAAUAUUCACGGAUGGAUUGGUUGAGGAACAUCAAGGGAGGAAUCAGAUGUUUUUCUUUAAUCUACAUUCGCUGUGGCUAAAAGACCUUCCCAAACUCACAAGUUUGUGCUUUGAUAAUUACUUUGAAUUUCACUGUUUGGCAUAUUUAGCACUAAUAAAUUGUCCAUUGCUAAAAACAUUCAUCUCUAAACGUGUACCCGGAGAUGAACCUCAAAUUGGCCAACAUGUACAGGCAAGUAACUUGGAGGUUCAUAACUCAUCUCUCCUCGAUGAAAAGGUCAUUUCUUCAUGGAUCCUCCUUUUAAUUUAUGUUACUUCGAUUUAUCUUAUUCAUUUGAGGUUCUUUCUUUUUCAUACAUAUUUCAGUUACUAACCUAAUGAAAUGAUUUAUUAGGUUGUUUUCCCUAGUUUGAAGACGUUGCGGAUUACGGGUUGUGAUUCGUUAGAAGAAAUUAUUGAGCUGCAAGGACUCAUUGCUGAUGAGUCACAGUCAACAUCAGCUGCUCAAUCUAUUGUGGCUGAAACAGUGACGACCAAGUUUGUAUUUCCCAAACUAAUAAACCUUGGAUUGUAUAAGGUACCGAGAUUGAAAAGUUUCUACUCUAGGAUGCAUAUCACCCAGUGGCCUUCAUUGAAAAAAAUGGACAUUAUUGGAUGCCCCAAAGUACAUAUAUUUACUCCACAAUGUCCUGAGAGUCAGGUUGGAAUCUCAAACCAACAACCCUUGUUUUGCGUCAACGAGGUAAGCUCACUAGCAGUUUCAUAUUCCAUGUUCAUUACUUGAGAUUACCUAUAAAAUGCUUUUUGAAAAAACUAAUAUUCUCUCCUCUUUUAAUUUUAUGAGAGUCUAGUUCUUACUAAUUUAAAACUUUUUCAUCGAUGUCUAAUAUAUUCAUUGCCAUCCAGGACACUUUCCCUGAAUUAGAAGAACUAACACUGAACACGAAUGAUGUGGUGAAGGAGAUAUGUGAUGGACAGCUCUCAUUGCAGUGUUUCCAAAACCUUAAACUUCUUAACCUCCGAUUCUUUCCUGAGACAUCCACUACUCUUCCAUAUUCCUUCAUUCGUUCGCUACCAAAGCUUCAGAAGCUUGUUAUAAACAAUGCUUCCAUUUCUGAAAUAGUCCGAUCUGAAGGACUUAGCGAAGAGGAAAGGCACACAUCGGUAUUCUAUCAGUUAAAGGACUUAAGGUUGUCUCAACUUCCAGAGUUGACGUUAAAGACUUUUAAACCAUCUUUGCUGUCUUUCAAAAAUCUAACAACACUGGAAGUUUCAAGCUGCCAUGGGUUCAUCAAUUUAAUCGCAUGCUCAACAGCUAAGUGCCUGACGCUACUGGAAAGAUUGAUCAUAGAUGAUUGUGAGAUGAUAGAGGAAAUCAUAGCGUGUGAGGCUGAAGAAAUACAAGGCGGCAUUGUAUUUCCCAAAUUGCAGUAUUUGCAACUAAGUUGUCUUCCAUGUCUAGCAAGCUUUUCCUUGGCCCCUCACUCGUUGGAAUUCCCAGUCUUGCUAAUGGUGAUAGUGACAAAGUGCCCCCAAAUGAGGAAUUUCUGCCAAGGAGAUUUAAGCACACCAAGGCUGGAACAAAUGCACUUAACAAGAGAUGAGGAAGGUGAACUGCAGUGGGAAGGCGACCUUAACACUACCAUAAAACAUAUGUUCGAUGAAAUAGUACAAAUCAUUUAAAGGAUUUAAAUUCAUGUGUUUUUACAUACAUACAUACAUACAUACAUACAUAGUUAAUUGAACAAUUCUUGGUUUGUUAUGACCAUGCACAGAAUGUGCAAAAUUCUGAGCCGACGGAGGUUACUAAUCAGUUGCCCAAGCUGGAAUAAGGAAAUAUGUUUGGGUGCUUAUGCGAAAAGCUCAAUUUCGUUUGAAUUCAAAACAAAUGGUAAUUGACUCCUCUAUUUUCAUCAUGGUUUAACUAAUGCUUUAUAAAGUGACCAUAGAGACGCCCUUUUCAUUAUAGGUUGAGUUGCUCUACUGAAGUACGAGGCAGCAACUUUUGGUAAAAUGUGAAAGGUUAUUUCAGUUUUUGUAAAACUACUGUUUGGACUGUUCCAUUUCACAUUAUACCCUCAAAAUUGAACUUCAAGUGUAUCAUGAAUGGCAUUGGGCUACAAACAUGUAAACUUUUACUAGUAAGGUUGACCCCUGUUUUAAGGAUUUGCCAACUUUUGAUGGUUACCAUAUCAAUGUCAACUUAAAGCUAUCAAGUAUCUUCACAAAUAUUGUUGACACCAUUUUUUGGAUGAAAAAAAAACGGGGUCGACUUGGGUUUUGACAAAAACGAAAAAACGGGAGUCGCCACCAAUCCUUUUUAAUGAGGUGUGAUUGGAUCACCUCAAAAACUAGUUGUUUCUAAUAAACGGUUUAAUUUUAUUAAAACAACGAUUUUGGUCCACGAAAUUCAGAAAACGGGUUCGGGAGUCGGUUACGUACGAGGAAGGAUUAGCACCCUCGUAACGCCCAAAAUUGGUACCUAGUUGAUUAGUUAAUGUCUUGAUGUCGAAAAUUGAUAACUUAAAAGAAUUUUAAAAAAUACGAUCCUUGAUUAAAACGUUAAGAGAAAAUUUUUUUGAGAAAAGAAGCACAUUUCACGUUAAUUGAGAAAUAUACGUCAUAUCCAGUGAGUUAGGAUACAAUGUCUCGAAUUCUCGAUGCGUAAAAAUGCUUGUUUAAAAGACAUUUUAGCUAUCUCGGAUUUAAAAAAGGAGAUCACGACCAGUAAGUUAGGACGCGAUUUUUUUUUUAAUUCCCGAUAUCAUUUAAAACUUGAGUUUAAAAAAAAUCGUGUAAUAAAGUUUAAAAGAAUAUUCAAUUGUUUAAAUCAAAUGAAGAAAUCGCAACCCAAUACGUUAAGGCACAAUUUCUCAAAAUAUUAAACAUUGAAUACUGCAUUUAUUUCGGAAAAAAAAAACCUCGUCUCGAGAAAACAACGUGUCACAUCCAAUGCGUUAGGACACAACGUAUUGAAUUCUCGAUAACGAGCUUUUUAUCAUUUUUAAAAGAGUAAUCUCGAUUAUUUAAAUUCAACGAAGAAAAUCAGAACCCAUUAUGUUAGGGCUCGAUUCUCUCGAAGUUCCAAAUACCGAGUAUUACUCAUAUUUUUAAAUUUUCUUCUUUUUUGAAAUCUAGAUAAAAAUAGGUGUAAUGGAAUAACAAUAAUGAUGAUGUAAUUAAAAUAAUACAAGCAAAGGCUACGAAGUAAAAUAAAUACAGAGACGAACUAAUAUAAUAUACAAUCACAAGCAUAUAAGCAAUAAAAUUAAAACAUUCAUUCUAAAUAAUGAAAAUGUAAAUGAAGAAAUGAACAAAGAAAAUGUAUAAAACUAUAAAAAAAUAAAACAUACAUAUGUGUAUAUACAUAAAAUUAUGGAAAUAUAAAAAAUAUAUGUAUGUACAUAUUUUAAAAUCAUUAUAAAAUAUAUAUAAGUAAACAUAUACAUAUAUACGUAUGUAACUAUCAUAAAAUAUAAAAAGUAUAUAUAUAGAUACAUAUAUAUAUAUGAGUCAUAGAAUAUAAAUAACAUAUAUAAGAUACAUAUUUAAAAUAUGAAGAAUGUAAGUAUAAAUAUAUUUAUGAAAAUAGAAUACAUAUAUAGACAUGUAUAUAGAUGUGUAUAAAAUUACGAAAUAUAAAAUAUAAGGGUAUUAGUAUGUGUAUAUAUAUAUAGACAGAUAGAUAGAUCAUAAAAAAAAUAUGGAUAUUAUAUAUAUAUAACAUGAAAACGCAUAUAUGUAUAUAUAACAAAGAUUCCAAAUAAAAAAUAAAUGAACAACUUAAUAAUAACAGUAAUAAUAUUAUUUUAUAAAAAAGGGAAAUAAACAAUAACAAAAGGACUAAAUUAAACAUUGAAACAAGAUUUGGGGUUUAAAAUUGCAAAUAAAAGGUUCAAGGGCUGGAAUGAAUCACGCACAAAGUGCAAAGGACUGAUCGGACAAUAUGCCCAAGUCCUGAAGGCACAACAUUCGUGCGCUGAUUAAAUUGAAUCAUAAAGAAAUUUCGUGGGGCCAAAUUAAAGAAAAUAAAUAAACAAGCAAAAGGACUAAAUUAAAACAAUCAACAACGAGGAAGGGCCAAGGGCAUAAAUAGCCCACUUCAUGAAAACGCGCGGAUCCCCUCCUACCGGGUCGGGUCGCACGCGGGUCCAGAGGCAGAACGAUGUCGUUUCGACGCCCAUAUGCAGUCACAAAACGGCGCCGUUUCUAUUAUGGUAUUUAAGCCCAAUUUUCUACAAAAAAAAUUUCAGCAACUGUUUGUUUUAAGAAAAAUCCAAAAAAAAAAACCUUUCCUCCUCCCCUCUCAAACAUCCGGCCUUUAGGUCUCCUUAGCGCCGCCAUUGCGCCACCGUGGACGGUGGCCGGCGUUGCGCAAAAGGGGCAUUCUAGUCUCGGUUUUGAGACCCGAUCGAAGGCUUUACUCGCAUAGCCUGAAGAUCAAGAGGCAGGACCCCCUAACUCAAACUUUCGGGGCCGAUUUCAACGACGGGCAGACCCCGACGGCAACGCAACCGAAAGACGAAACGGGUAAGUCCUCCUCUUCCUUUUUAUUUACUAUCUUUAUAUAUAUAUGUAUGUAAACAAAAAGAAAAGAGAACAAAAAAAUAACUUCAAAACUGAAAAGAAAAGAAAAGAAACCUUGAAUCUGUUUUUGUUUCCUUUUUCUCUAUUAAUGCCUUUUUUCUUUACAAAAAUCGAAACCCCCUUUACAAAGGUUUUUCAAUCGGUUUUUGAACCAAAAAUAAUACCCCCCGUUGCUUGUUGUUGUUGUUCUCUUUAUUAUUUACAGGUGAAGCAGGUGGCGAUGGGAUAAGGUGAACGGCGGUGGCAGAAGGCUAGGCUGCAAAAGGCGUACGGUGCUGAGCAAGGCAGGGAACCCUAGGGUUCCUUGAUGCUUGUUUAAUUUUUGUGCCCAAUUGGGCCAAUUUAGAUUUUGGGCAUUGGGCCUUGUGUUUUGGGUUGAAUUUAGCUUGUUAGGCUGGGGUAUUUUGGGUUAAUGGGCCCCGGGAAAAUUUAGGCUUCUACAGCUGCCUCUCUUUGCUCGUUGUCGUGUAACGAGAACAGAGCAAAGACUAAGAAAGACCAAAUUUGCCCAGUCUUGCCGAGUCUUGACUUCUCUUGACGCUUCUCUUCUUCACGUAGCCUCAUUCCAGUCUACUGUGUCUUGUCGUUUCGAUCCACUCCACUGCACCUCAGAAAGAUCUGACUUGUAGCUUCAAUCUUCUUCGCAACAACUUCAGAGAGAGAAGAUCGGUGGUUUUGAUCCGCUCCACUGCAACUUCAUAGAGAUAAGACUGGAUGCGGUCUGCUCUACUGCAACUUUAGAGAGAUAAGAUCUGUGGUUUUGAUCCGCUCCACUACUGCUUAAGGAGGAUAAGAUUGAUUUCUUCAAUCUGCUCCACUGCAACCUCAGGGAGAUAAGAUUGGAUGUGAUCUGCCCUACUGCAACUUCAGAGAGAUAAGAUCUGUGGUUUUAAUCCGCUCCACUGCAACUUCAGGGAGAUAGGAUUGGCUUCUUCAAUCUGUUUAACUGCAAUGUCGGGGAAGUAAGACUCGCCGUCGUAGCUUCAAUGUAUUCCACUACACCGUCAGGGAAAGUAAGAUUCGUCAUUGUGGCCUUGAUCUUUUAAUUGCAAUGUUGGGGAAGCAAGAUUCGCCGUUGUAGCUUCAAUGUAUUCCACUACACCGUCAGGAAAAGUAAGAUUCGCCGUUGUGGCCUCAAUAUUUUAAUUGCAAUGUCGGGGAAGCGAGAUUCGCUGUCGUAGCUUCAAUCUGUUCCGCUGCAUCACCUGGGAAGUAAGAUUUGCCUUUGUGGCUUCAAUCUUUUAAUUGUAAUGUCGGGGAAGCAAGAUUCGCCGUUGCAGCUUCAAUCUAUUCCGCUGCAUCCCCUGGAAAGUAAGAUUCGCCGUUGUGGCUUCAAUCUUUUUAACUGCCGGGGAAGCAAGAUCCGCUGUUGUAGCUUCAAUCUGUUCCACUGCAACGCUAGGAAAGUAAGAUCCGCUGUUGUAGCUUCAAUCUUUUUAAUUGCCGGGGAAGCAAGAUCCGCUGUUGUAGCUUCAAUCUGUUCCACUGCAACGCUAGGAAAGUAAGAUCCGCUGUUGUAGCUUCAAUCUUCUUAAUUGCAAUGUCAGGAAGCGAGAUUCGCUGUCGUAGCUUCAAUCUGUUCCGCUGCAUCACCUGGGAAGUAAGAUUUGCCUUUGUGGCUUCAAUCUUUUAAUUGUAAUGUCGGGGAAGCAAGAUUCACCGUUGUAGCUUCAAUCUGUUCCGCUGCAUCGCCUGGAAAGUAAGAUUCGCCGUUGUGGCUUCAAUCUUUUUAACUACCGGGGAAGCAAGAUCCGCUGUUGUAACUUCAAUCCGUUCCAUUACAACGCUAGGAAAGUAAGAUCCACUGUUGUAGCUUCAAUCUUUUUAAUUGCCGGGGAAGCAAGAUCCGCUGUUGUAGCUUCAAUCUGUUCCACUGCAAUGCUAGGAAAGUAAGAUCCGCUGUUGUAGCUUCAAUCUUUUUAAAUGCAAUGUCAGGGAAGUAAAAUCUGCUGUUGUAGCUUCAAUCUAUUCUGCUGCAUCGCUAGGAAAGUAAGAUCCGCUGUUGUAGCUUCAAUCUUUUUAAAAGCAAUGUCAGGGAAGUAAGAUCCACUAUUGUAGCUUCAAUCUGUUCCACUGCAACACUAGGAAAGUAAGAUCCGCUGUUAUAGCUUCAAUCUUUUUAAUUGCAAUGUCAAGGGAGUAAGAUCCGCUGUUGUAGCUUCAAUUUGUUCCACUGCAACGCUAGGAAAGUAAGAUCCGCUGUUGUAGCUUCAAUCUUCUUAAUUGCAAUGUCAAGAAAGUAAGAUCCGCUGUUGUAGCUUCAAUCUGUUCCACUGCAACGCUAGGAAAGUAAGAUCUGAUGUUGUAGCUUCAAUCUUCUUAAUUGCAAUGUCAGGGAAGUAAGAUCCGCUGUUGUAGCUUCAAUCUGUUCCACUGCAAUGCUAGGAAAGUAAGAUCCGCUAUUGUAGCUUCAAUCUUUUUAAUUGCAAACUAUGGUUUCUUCUAUCUGUUUCGCUGUCAGUACAGGAAUGCAAGAUUUGCUAUCUUCAUUCUGCUCCGCUGUCAGUACAGGAAAACAAGGCUGGUGUCUUCGAUUUACUUCACUGCCAGUACAGGAAGGCAUGAUCUGCUAUCUUCAUUGAUCUGUUCUCUGGUGAACAUGACCUUUAUGUUCUAUUUUAUAAACCUAAUUGUGCCUAGUGAUUAGGAUGACAUGAUCAGAACGAAACAAAUGCUCCUAACUAGAUGUGUAUGAAUGACAUUUGAAUGAAUGCAAAAUGUCAUGAAAAUGAUUCUUUAAUGCUUAGGUUAUCAUCACGCAAAAGCUUAUUAAGGUUAUAUCACUGACGUGCUACAAUGCCUUCUUGCUCAGCUAACAUAUCCAAAGAAACACUUAAUCUGAUUGCCCCCCACUGUGAACGUCAAAGUUCAAUCCACAGGGACAUAAAAUUUGUACCAUCAAUCUCCCACUAUAACCCAAGGGUAGAAAGAUAUGGCUUUUCUCAAUCUUCUCCUAUCGCAAUUCAAGGAUACAAGAUCUAAAUCCUUCUGGUCCCUUACACCAUUCCGAGGGUGUCGUAUCAAAGACUCAUGUGCAAAUGAGGGUUCUCUUCCCCGAGGUAACCUCUUCCUAUUGCCUGAUGAUCAUUGCUUUCUUGUUUAUUCAAGCUUUGUCACCAACAUGGCGUCUUGUCAAUCAACGCAUUUGACAACAAAAAAUCUAAAGAAAGUCUAAAUUUAGACUAUUCCUUCCCAAAUUUCCAACUUUAAAUUUGGUGUGUUAUAAACAAUAGUCAUGCUUUAGGCUCCAAUAUUAUUUAGAAACUUUUCAGAGUAAUAUGCAAAACUUCCUUUGUGAAAGUUUUAUUAGUCCAUUAAUCAUUAUUCUAAUACAACAUGCUUUGCAAAAAGGGUCUUAACAAUGAAUAAGAAUAAAAUUGGUUCUGAGCAUAGCUCGAAAAGAAUAAAUUACCAAAAAUAAUAAAGAAGGAUAAUGAAGAAAUUGAUCGGGAAUGUAUAUCUUGGAAAAGAAAAAGGUAUUCCAAGAACAACAAAUUUAAUAUAGAUAAUAUGAUAAUUGGGUGCCCAGACAUCGCAGCUUGAACUUCUCUGUACGAACUUUCUGAAGACCAUUUUGAGUUGGACAUGUGCUUAGGAGAUCUACAAUGCUCUGUCGAUACCCAAGAUGUCGCCUAUCCUUUCUUGUUGAUUCAGGCACAGCAAGAUCACCACAUGCCCCAAUAUGAUCAAAAUUCGAAUCGCUCUGAUCGCCUCAUGCCCCAUUCUGAACAAAUAUUUGAGCCGCCCUUUUCGGGUUUUCAACUCAAAUCCCCUUUGGCCUAAGGCGCCCUUUUUCGGGUUUUCCCCUUAGCCUCUCCAUUUUUCAUUUUCAUUUUUCAUUUUUCAUUUUUCAUUUUUCAUUUUUCAUUUUUCAUUCUCAUUUUUCAUUUUUCAUUUUUCAUUUUUCAUUCUCAUUUUUCAUUUUUCAUUUUUUUUACUUAGAGUGCUCUUUGCAGGCUUUCACAUUAGUCAUCUCUCCUUCUUUAAACGAAGUAUUUCUUGACUAGAUCUGAGUUUAUAGGACUAGAAAUCUCACUCAGGAUCAACGCUCUUCUGAGGAAUGUCUUCUUUACAACGUAGGGACAUUCCCAGUUUGGCAUUCAUUUCCCUCUGGAAUCCUUUUGGAGAGGAAUGAUCUUUUGACAUCCAACCCUCUCGUGGAAUUCUCUGAGAUGACACUGUUCGUUAUGGGCUCGUAUCAUUUGUUUCCGGUACAUCCAACCCUGAAGAAUAGCUUUUAACCUUUUUCCUAGGUUCAACUGAUCGCAUCGCGAUUGAAUCCAUUCUGCUUCAUCCAAUUCUAGCUCAACUAAUACUCGGAGAGAAAGGAUUUCAAUAGGUAAAACUACCUAAACCCUGCAAACCAAAGAGAAAGGUAUUGCCUCGGUAUAGAUGCUCGACAAGCAAGGAAGACAAAUAGUAAUUUCUCAUGCCAGUCUCUGUCAUUUUCCUUCAAUUUUCGAUGUUAAACUCUAGGCAAUUCAGUGGCGAAUCGUGGAGUCCACUUCUGAGUUGAUUUGAGAACUCAGCUAUCGUGAUAUUGUUUAAGCUCAAUGCAUUCUCCAAUACCCUUUUCUCUGAAAUUUUGUAUCGGAAUACGAUGACUUUUGAUCAUGAAGUAGCCUCUCAAAAUGAAGCAAUGCCCAUUAGAAGUCUUCGAUAAUGGUGAUGUCCAUGCCCCAUUGUGCUCGAAAUUUGAGUCGCCUUUUUUGGGUUUUCAACUCAAAACCACAUUUGGUCACAAAGCGCCCUUUACAGGUUUUCGCUUUGGCCUCUCCUUUUUUCUUUUUUAUUCUGAUUUUUUCAUCCAGAUUUCUCUUUUUCAUUCUUCUUUCUUUUUCUCAUUUUCAUUUUGAUCUUGAUUUUGAUUUUUUUCUUUCUUCUUUUUUUUUGAUUUUUUUCAUUUUCAUUUUCAUUUUCAUUUUGACUUUGACUUUGAUUUUGAUUUUUCUUUUUCUUCCCUUUUUGAUCUGAGCCUUUUGGUGGGCAACUUCGACAGAAAACUUUGGAUCUUCCUCUUUAAUCAGGAUGGACCCAACAACAACUUGAAGAGAUAGAAAUUUGACUUCAAAUGGGCAAAGCUAUGCUGACUCCACGUGAAAGGCAUUGCCCCGGCAAAGAAUUACAUCGUUCAUACUGCAAAUUUCUGACAUCGUGCUGUUGUGCAGAUUUCAUUAUCGGCGUUUAACCCGGGGCAUAUCCUGGUAUGAUCAUACGAAGACAUCUAUGAACCUUAGAGGUCACUCAAUAAGGUGUUGCUUCGUCUUUGCGGUCAAGUUAAUUCUAAUCUUCACCAAGUCCACAAUUCCUUAUGAGGUAGGAUCUGUCUAUCCUCUUAUUCUACCAUCCUCAACAAGUUCGGAGCUAAGCUACGAUCUAUGUCAUUUCCAAAGUCGUGAGAUCCGUCUAAACACAUACCUCUCUCAAGAGGAAAAUCUGAGUCUGUAGCAGUAUCACUCAUGUCAUUGAUAUCUGGGAACUCAUUGUAAGUACAAAAGGAUAUACAAAGAAUAUAUGAAGUUGUACAAUAUGUUUAUGAAUGCAAUAGUGAUUUGGAAGAAAGAAUAAAAGAAUACAAAUAAUCAUUGAUAAGAAAUGAAGAAUAUUGAUUCAAAAAAGAUCGCAAAGAUGCAUUCCAUUAAAAUAAUGACAUUCAGACUGAGCCUAUUUCACAAAAGAGUUCUUAUUGCCUCUAGGCUAAAAGCAACAAGUGUGUUCUGAAUAUUACUCUGAGUAAACUCUAAAUACUACAGGGGUCUCUUCUGCAGUCUAAUUAUUCAGAACACUCUCAAGUUUAGAAGGGCGAACAUCUAAUAAGAUAUCUUCUCCAAUUGUUUCUUCAUAUUCGGCACGGAUGUGAACAUUUCCUAACAUUUCUUCAUUCAUCGCAUUCCCUUCAUUAUCCAUAUGAUUGAGCAGCGGGUUUUCUGUACUGAGUGAAUCCUCAAAUUUAACAAUGCCCAUAUUGAUAAACCUUUCGACCAGCUUUUUAAAGGCAGUGCAUUUUUCUAUAGAAUGCCCUGUAAUUCCCGCAUGAUAGUCACAUCGCGCAUUUGUGUCGUACCAUUUGGGAUACGGAGGUUGUAAAGGCUUCAAGUAGAAAUGGGAGACAACAUGUGCGUCAAAUAAACUAUGAUACAACUCCUGGUACGACAUUGGGAUUGGUGCAAAUUGUGACUUUUCAGUACCUGGUUUCACUCCAGAUUCUUGCUUUAAAGGGCUCUGAUGGCUAGUGGUCUUCGUCUUUGGUUUGCCCACAGUGAUUAGUUUUGAGUGGCCCUUGUUAUAUUCGCCUGCGUUUUCCUUUUUAUUCCCCUUCUUCCUUGGGGCCUUUAUAGUAUCUGGGUACUCUACCCCCAUCUGCUUUAUUUCGGCUAGAUUAGCAAUAGGAUUAGCUAAAUCGUUCCUCAAAUUGGAUCCUAAGCCUGUCAGGCAAUUCACUGGUGUCGAUGUACUAGUCUGAUAAUAUUGGGAUCCGAUAGUAAAGAGUGCCCCUUGUGGGCGCCUAUCUGGCUGGACCUGGACACUUGUCGGAGUACAAUCUAAGGAAUAGACAAGAUCAUCAUUAUUAACCCUAAAGUAAACCACUGGGUCUUGCACUUCUUUUGACUUUCCAGCUAGCAAUCGGUUGAACUGGUUUAUCAUAGUUCUCCGUAAUUCUAGCAUCUGAUCUCUCAUCUCUUUUUGAAAUUUAGUCAUUUGCUCCUGCAUCUGGAUCUACAUUCGCUCUAAUUUUUCCAACCUUCGUUCCAUUUCUCUAGCCUUUGCUUGGAUAUCGUAAUGGUGUUUGGUUGUUUGGUUUUCCAAGUUAGCUGAAAUAAAUUUACUCAUUUAGACUCUUUCAAUGGAUUUUAAUGCAUGUAAUGCAAUGUGAUGCAAAUGCAUGAAAUGAAUGCCUAAAGAGACGUUGAUUCUGAUUCAAUUACAUUUAGAAAACUUUUCUAGAAAGCAAAUUCCCUUACAUAAAACAGAUACAUGUACGGCCUCACCCUCAUACUCCAAGAAACAACAUCGGUCUUUUUCUUCAUCCGCUUGUUUGAGGUAAUCUCGCCAAUAGAUGCCAUUGCUAGCUCCUUUUGAUCUUGGUCGUGAUCCAUCAUCUGCCCAUCUUCAUAAGGCUCGUCUGCUUCUUGGAACGUCGAAGGCUCUUAGACAAUCGCUUUGAAUCCUCAGGCCACGAAGCAGGGUCACGAACUCUUCCAUCGCCCUUCUUGCGUUCUUCAGAAUAUAUUUGGGAAGUUGUAUUAUUUUCCACCUUAUCAAGGAAUUCGUAUUCCAUGACAAGCUUUCUAAUUUAGUAAUCGAACUUGAAUCCAUAUCUCUUUCCUAAGAUGCAAAUGCAAUGUAAUGCAAUCAUAAUCAAAACACAACAAUAGGGGUUAGUACAAAACAUAAGCAAGCACAGAAAACAAAAAGUACCUAAUCAGGUAGAUACUAGGGGUUUGGAGUGGCUCUACCUAGGUUAAGUUCCUAAGUCUACUAUAUGAGGGUUGGUUCUAAAGUCAAGGUACCCGAACCAACAGAUUCCUCGAUCUUCACCCAUUAUAGGCUCAUACAGACAGAGUUCGGUUCAAGGGAAUACAUUUCCCGAUGGCUGCACGGAGAUGAAAAUCUCACGAAAGCAUAGGUACAGAUGUAUUCCGGAAGCGAUCCACUAUCCUGCACGAAGGUGAAAACCUCAAGAAGGACUAGUUUCUCACUCCCACCUAAAAGGUAAUAAUCGAGCGAUAAUGUAAUGCAACAUGCAGAAAUAUAUCAAAAUUCAAACCAAUAGAGCAAAUACAAACUGAAGUAAGGAUAAUCGUAACAAAAACGGACAAACAUACAACAAAAUGACCGUAGAUUUGAACCAAGCUUUCGGGUGACCUCUAGGCAUUUGGUGUGGUUCUACCUAGGGUAGGCUCUUAAGGCUCAUUAUAUGCGGUUCGGUUCUAAAGUAAGGGUACCUGAACCAGCAGAUUCCUCGAUCCUCACCCAUUAUAGGCCCAUACGGACUGAGUUCAGUUCAGGGGGAUACAUUUCCCUAUGGCCAUGCGGAGAUGAAAAUCUCACAAAUACAUAGGUACAGAUGUAUCCCGGAAGCGAUUUACUAUCCCAUGCGGAGGUGAAAACCUCACGAAGGCGUAGUUUUUCAUUCCCACUUAAAAGGGUGUGACCAACGGUCAUACAAUGCAAUGUGCUAAAAUAUACAUCUAAACGCAGUAAUUAUAAACAAAAUUAUAAAGACUGAAAUAAAAACGAAUGAAAUGCAACACAAGGAUCGUGUGAAGUUUUCAAUCUUUGACAAAAGACAAAAAGUAAUCAACACAUGGCUUGACUCUCGUAUUUUUCCCCAGCGGAGUUGCCAAGCUGUUGACACCAUUUUUUGGAUGAAAAAAAACGGGAUCGACUUGGGUUUUGACGAAAACGAAAAAACGGGAGUCGCCACCAAUCCUUUUUAAUGAGGUGUGAUUGGAUCACCUCAAAAAUUGGUUGUUUCUAAUAAACAGUUUAAUUUUAUUAAAACAACGCUUUUGGUCCAUGAAAUUCAGAAAACGAGUUCGGGAGUCGAUUACGUAUGAGGAAGGAUUAACACCCUCAUAACGCCCAAAAUUGGUACCUAGUUGAUUAGUUAAUGUCUUGAUGUCGAAAAUUGAUAACUUAAAAGAAUUUUAAAAAAUACGAUCCUUGAUUAAAACAUUAAGAGAAUUUUUUUGAGAAAAGAAGCACAUUUCACGUUAAUUGAGAAAUAUACGUCAUAUCCAGUGAAUUAGGAUACAAUGUAUCGAAUUCUCGAUGCGUAAAAAUGCUUGUUUAAAAGACAUUUUAGCUAUCUCGGAUUUAAAAAAAAUAGAUCACGACCAGUAAGUUAGGACGCGAUUUUUUUUUAAUUCCCGAUAUCAUUUAAAACUUGAGUUUAAAAAAAUUCGUGUAAUAAAGUUUAAAAGAAUAUUCAAUUGUUUAAAUCAAAUGAAGAAAUCGCAACCCAAUACGUUAAGGCACAAUUUCUCAAAAUAUUAAACAUUGAAUACUGCAUUUAUUUCGGAAAAAAAAACCUCAUCUCGAGAAAACAACGUGUCACAUCCAAUGCGUUAGGACACAACAUAUUGAAUUCUCGAUAACGAGCUUUUUAUCAUUUUUAAAAGAGUAAUCUCGAUUAUUUAAAUUCAACGAAGAAAAUCAGAACCCAAUAUGUUAGGGCUCGAUUCUCUCGAAGUUCCAAAUACCAAGUAUUAUUCAUAUUUUUAAAAUUUCUUCUUUUUUGAAAUCUAGAUAAAAAUAGGUGUAAUGGAAUAACAAUAAUGAUGAUGUAAUUAAAAUAAUACAAGCAAAGGCUACGAAGUAAAAUAAAUACAGAGACGAACUAAUAUAAUAUACAAUCACAAGCAUAUAAGCAAUAAAAUUAAAACAUUCAUUCUAAAUAAUGAAAAUGUAAAUGAAGAAAUGAACAAAGAAAAUGUAUAAAACUAUAAAAAAAUAAAACAUACAUAUAUGUGUAUAUACAUAAAAUUAUGAAAAUAUAAAAAAUAUAUGUAUGUACAUAUUUUAAAAUCAUUAUAAAAUAUAUAUAUAAGUAAACAUAUACAUAUAUACGUAUGUAACUAUCAUAAAAUAUAAAAAGUAUAUAUAUAGAUACAUAUAUAUAUAUGAGUCAUAGAAUAUAAAUAACAUAUAUAAGAUACAUAUUUAAAAUAUGAAGAAUGUAAGUAUAUUUAUAUUUAUGAAAAUAGAAUACAUAUAUAGACAUGUAUAUAGAUAUGUAUAAAAUUACGAAAUAUAAAAUAUAAGGGUAUUAGUAUGUGUAUAUAUAUAUAUAGACAGAUAGAUAGAUCAUAAAAAAAAUAUGGAUAUUAUAUAUAUAUAUAACAUGAAAACGCAUAUAUGUAUAUAUAACAAAGAUUCCAAAUAAAAAAUAAAUGAACAACUUAAUAAUAACAGUAAUAAUAUUAUUUUAUAAAAAAGGGAAAUAAACAAUAACAAAAGGACUAAAUUAAACAUUGAAACAAGAUUUGGGGUUUAAAAUUACAAAUAAAAGGUUCAAGGGCUGGAAUGAAUCACGCACAAAGUGCAAAGGACUGAUCGGACAAUAUGCCCAAGUCCUGAGGCACAACAUUCGUGCGCUGAUUAAAUUGAAUCAUGAAGAAAUUUCGUGGGGCCAAAUUAAAGAAAAUAAAUAAACAAGCAAAAGGACUAAAUUAAAACAAUCAACAACGAGGAAGGGCCAAGGGCAUAAAUAGCCCACUUCAUGAAAACGCGCGGAUCCCCUCCUACCGGGUCGGGUCGCACGCGGGUCCAGAGGCAGAACGACGUCGUUUCGACGCCCAUAUGCAGUCACAAAACGGCGCCGUUUCUAUUAUGGUAUUUAAGCCCAAUUUUCUACAAAAAAAAAAUUUCAGCAGCUGUUUGUUUUAAGAAAAAUCCAAAAAAAAAAAACUUUCCUCCCCUCUCAAACAUCCGGCCUUUAGGUCUCCUUAGCGCCGCCAUUGCGCCACUGUGGACGGUGGCCGGCAUUGCGCAAAAGGGGCGUUCUAGUCCCGGUUUUGAGACCCGAUCGAAGGCUUUACUCGCAUAGCCUGAAGAUCAAGAGGCAGGACCCCCUAACUCAAACUUUCGGGGCCGAUUUCAACGACGGGCAGACCCCGACGGCAGCGCAACCGAAAGACGAAACGGGUAAGUCCUCCUCUUCCUUUUUAUUUACUAUCUUUAUAUAUAUAUGUAUGUAAACAAAAAGAAAAGAGAACAGAAAAAGAACUUCAAAACUGAAAAGAAAAGAAAAGAAACCUUGAAUCUGUAUUUGUUUCUUUUUUCUCUAUUAAUGCCUUUUUUCUUUACAAAAAUCGGAACCCCCUUUACAAAGGUUUUUCAAUCGGUUUUUGAACCAAAAAUAAUACCCCCCAUUGCUUGUUGCUGUUGUUCUCUUUAUUAUUUGCAGGUGAAGCAGGUGGCGAUGGGACAAGGUGAACGGCGGUGGCAGAAGGCUAGGCUGCAGGAGGCGUACGGCGCUGAGCAAGGCAGGGAACCCUAGGGUUCCCUGAUGCUUGUUUAAUUUUUGGGCCCAAUUGGGCCAAUUUAGAUUUUGGGCAUUGGGCCUUGUGUUUUGGGUUGAAUUUAGCUUGUUAGGCUGGGGUAUUUUGGGUUAAUGGGCCCGGGCAAAUUUGGGCUUCUACAAAUAUAAUAUAUAUAUUAUUCCUUAAUGUGGGAUAAAAGUAGGCAGCUAUCUAUUAAUGAUACGGCUGAUUCUGAAAAGACGGCUGAAAUUGAAUCAAUGAGUUGUUGGUAUUUGCCUGAUGGAAGAACAGGGCCUAAUGUUACGUGGAUUCUGAUCAAGUUUUAAUUUUUCAGUUGUGGGCAUGACUGAUUGUUGCCAUUUGGUUGUUGAUCCUCUGAUUUUACGGUUGACUAUCUUGCUUAUACGUUGCUAUUGGUUGGCGGGUCUCAAGUAUGAAUUUCCAAGCCGGCUUUCAUCCAUAAUUAACUAGGUGUUCCAAUCCAUGGAGUUUAUGGUUUAUUAGUGUAACUGUCCAUUUGGUUAUGGAUUGGUUCUUAAGGUGUUUUGAUGCUUUGUAUGUUACAGUGUUUGCUCAACACCCUUUAAUUCUAAGGAAUUUUAUUCGUUGAGGAAAAAAAAAAUGAGGAUUACUCUGAUAUUUUAUGUUUGGGUUUAUGAAGAUUUUUGUAUGUUUAAUGAAAGAAAGCAAAUUAAAUAGAGACGUACAAGAUCACAUCCAUAGAUCAACAAAAGGGUUUAAUAUUUCCAUAAAAUAUUGUCCCAAAAAGGCCUUUUAAUGAGAAUUGAUCAUAUAAACUAAUGAAGGCCAUUGAAAAUAAAGCUUGUAAAAAAUUACAAAAGGAAUUGAUGAGAAUUUGUUGUGAUAAGAGUUUAUGGCCCUGUAGGAGCCUCUCCCCAAAUCGCUAGCAAAUGAAACAAAAGGAUUAAUGCACUUCGAUAAUGGCAGAUUUAUAUUUGUUACGAAAGGUCAAGAGCCCAAGCCAUCUCAUGCCACAGCUUUCCCUUAAAGCAUUCGUGGCUGAGUCUAGUAUUAAUUUUUAUUUGUAUCUUUUAUAUCCGUUUUAUAAUUCAUAUUUGGGAUUUGUAUUAUGCACUUAAUAUUUCAUUAUUUAUUGUCUAUGUUGCUCAUUGUUGCAAAAAGAAGAACCAAACACAAUGCAUGCAUAAACCAUAAAAAAGAGAAAAAAACAACAUAAGCAACUAAUAAUGAAAUAUAUUAAAAUGAAGAAUGGCAAUUGAUUUCAGAAUUACCCCAAUUUCGGUAAAUAUAUUAAAACAUGUGUCUCUAAUCUUUUUCAAUUUUGAUAUUGAAAAAAUUGGUAUUUCUAAAAAUAUCAGAGUUAUUCAAUCAUUUUCAUUUUUGAAAGUGAUAAGUCAAAGACAAUUAAUUACAACAUUAAUGUUUUUCAUCAAUUAUACAUAAUUUUCUUGGUAUAAUAAUAAAUUUAGCCCUCAAAGUUGACACAUCCUAUCAAUUUGUUAUUGAUUUAACUAAUUUAACCCACAAUAUUUACACAUUUUGUCAAUUUGAUCAUGAUUUAACAUAUUUAACCCGUAAUAAUUACACAUUCUAUCAACAUUUACACAAAAUAUAUAAUCAUCAAUGAUUAAAUUUAUUUUUCUACUAAUCAAAAUUAUGUAUAAUUAACAGAAACUACUAGCGCUUGAUUAAUUGUUCAUGGUUACUUUCAAAAUUGAUAAGGAUUAAAUUACUCUAUUUCUUUUAGAGUGACCAAUUUGUUCAAUAUCAAAAAGAUAUUUUUUAUUUAUUUUAAUUUCAUAGGUAAGAAAAUCUCAAAAAAGAAAAUCUUUGAAAUAAAAAAAAGUAUGUUUUAUAUAAUUAUUUAAAGUUACUCUCACAUUAUUUUUUACCCAUUCAAAGCUAGCAAGUCUUUUAUGUACAAAUGGUGUAGCUCUGCAAUUUGGAUUAACAUGUUGGUGACCUCCAUGUGAAGUGAAAGAAAAUAGACAAUGUCACACAAUUAUUAUUUUUCCCUCCGUACCCCUAUGCCACCAAAGAAAGUUGAAUUAUCAAGGCACAAAAGCACUAAGGAGUAGGAGCUAGAAAAAGAGGGGCAUGAAAAUAAAAAGAGUCAAAUUAUUAUUUGACGGAAACGUUAAAUUUUGAAAUACAUAUAACAAUCCACGUGUGUUUCAUAUAUAUCUUUUUAAUUUUUAUGAUUUUUUUUGAAAUUUUGAUUUUUGAAUACUAUUAGAAAAUUAUUUGGUACAUUGUUAGUGGAGUUUUUAAACUCCACCAACAAAAUCAAUGGGUUGACAAGUGUCUUACAGAGGUAAAUAAAAUAUUAAAAAAUAAAUAUUUUAAAAAAAAGAUAUAUGUCAAUUUUUUAAAGUUACUUGUGAAAUAAAAAUAAUAUAUUAUCAGCGUACCAAAUACUCACAUUUUUAAUUAAGAUUUAAAAAUAAAAAAUAUAUAGUUACUAAAAUGAAUGGGUUGCAAAUUGAGAAAUUUGAUAUUGAAUAUUAAAAUUUUCUUAAAAAGAAGACAAGAUACAAAAGUUAGUGACUUAUUUGAUUUUAUUUUAAUUUUUAAAUUUAUGCAUUUUAUUAUGAAUUUUUAUUCUUUGUGUACUCUGUAAAAUUUGUCUGAAAUUUCUAAUUUUUAAUUUUUCACAUGAGUUUAAGAUAGAAAAAAUUUACUCUUAGGAUUGGUGAAACAAGGGUUACAAUCGAUACAAGAGUUCAGUUUACGAUAUGUAGAUGAUUUUGUUCUUCGAAAUAUUGUCUACAGGUAGGAUAUCGGAAAUCUAUUAUCAUAGUUUUGUUAAAAGGUCGAGAGUUCUAUUUUGGCCUAAGACUCUAGGAAUUCUAUUAUCGAUAUUCUAAUUAUGAUCAUGAUCUGUAAAAGAUAUGAGUAACAUGUGAUAUGUAAAUGAAGAGUUUUAUGGUAUGAUAAGCCAUAAAUUAAGUGAAAAUGUAAGGAAGUGUAUGAUUAUAUGAAAGACAAAAAUAAUUAAUUUAGUUUAAUGAUCUGUAAAAUUGAAAAGUGAAAUACAUGAAUUAUAUAAGAGAAUGUUCAUGAUCGACAUGCGGUGUGUAAAUGAUAAGGAAAAAAUUAUAUGACCAAAAUAGUAGAAAUGAAUAAUGAAAUUAGUUAAAUACUUUGUAAGUUCAAAAGUAGGUUGCAUUAAAUAAAUAGAUUUAUUAGUCAGAAUAGUAAUCAGUCCGGCAUGCACGCUCUCUUCAGUGAGAAGGUGAUUUAUUUCAUUACUCUUACACUCUUGCAUAAAUCUGUUGAUUUGUCCUUGUUUUUUUUUCUGCCUUCAUUACUUGAGCUAACCUUAUUAUGGGCAUGGAUUAUAUAUAUAUAUGAAUAGGUUGCAGUUCCUAGCUUGGAAAAGCUGAAUAUCUGGGACUUGAAUGUGAAGAUGAUAUUUUAUAAUGACCUAGCACCAGGUUCCUUUAAAAAUCUACGAGAAAUAAUCGUUUGUGGAUGUGGGAGCUUGAAAAAUCUAUUUCCAGUAUGAAUAGCCAAAGAUCUUCCACAACUUGAACUUUUAUGCAUCAGGGGUUGUCGAGUUGAGGAGAUUGUAUCGAAAGGGGAUGGAGUGGAGGAGCAGCCUGUGAGGUUUGAGUUUCCGCAAGUAUCUUUCCUUGAGGUUAGAUGGGUAGCAAAGCUCAAAUGUUUCUAUGAAGGGCAACAUACAAUAGUCUGGCCGAUGUUGAAAAAAUUGGAAACAGAUAGUUCUGCUUUGCUAAAGAUAGUGGCAUGGGAACAUCUUAGAUUAAUCCAAGGAAAUGAGGAGCCAGUUUUGUUGGGUGAAGAGGUAUGUAUAUCAUUACAAAUAUAUUUCAUUUUAUGAUUUAAACCACUGCCACAAGCAUCUCAAGUUGAAAUAUGCCACGAUCAUGCAUUUCUAAUUAUUAUAUUUUGUUUGAUUUUUUUUUUUUGAAUUUUUUGUUACAUUUAUAAUUAUUUUUUCAAUUUUUUUAAAAACAAGACUGAAUAAACAUAAUAGGUAAAUAUUGAGUGAAUGCAGUUCAAUUUGAUAAAAUGUAUAAAUAUUGAGGGUUAAUUUUAUUAUUAUGUAAAAAAAAUACUAAAAAUAAAAAUAAAAAUAUUUUAUCUGUUUUUAAGUAACCAAAAUGAAAAUAUUUUAACACUAAGUGACUAUAUAUGUAAUUUACCCUGCAUUUAAGUAGUGGAUCGAAACUAAAUAGGACCUUUAAUUUGCUAAAAAAAAAUUGCCACUCAAUAAAAAAAUCAAAACUUUAAAAGUUAAUUACACUAGACAUCUCAAACUAUGACCUUCAUUUUAAAUUAGUCCUAAAAUUUAAAACUAUUGAGGUUAUAUCAAUUACGUCUUUCUGUUAUUAAAUUCGUUAAUUUAACCAUCAAAUUAAAUCAGUGUAAUAUUUUAAAACCUUGGUGUUUUAUCUCCACUGUUCUGCUUAUAUUUUUUAUCAUAGAAAAUAAAUAUAUAUAUAUAUAACAAUGGUUGUUUAUCUAUUUUAAUCUAGAUUUGCUACUCUUCUUUCGGCUUUUAUGUUCUGUAAUUUUUAUCAGUUUUAAUUCUCAAUGUAUUGUGUUUUCUUAAAACAAAAAAUUCAUCUAUUCUGGAUUUGUUUGAUUUAAUAUUGAUUUUGUUGGGAUUUAAUCAUCAAAAUCAAACACUAAAAUUGUAAAUUUUUUUUUGUUUGUUUGUUUGUUUAAAGCAUAUACAUCAACAUUGAGCCUAACUUGUUUAUAUUUAAUUGGUUUCCAAGGUCAUUCCCAAAUUAGAGGAACUUGAGUUACUAAAUUUUGGUGAUAUGGACCAAUUUCCACCAAACUUGUUUCAACAUAUUAAAGUUUUUGCAGCGAGUGAUGGCUCUCCAUUUUCUAUAUUUCCUUUCGUCCGAAGAUUCUACAAUCUGGAAAGACUUGAGUUCACUUGUUUAGAUUUCAAACAUGUAGUCCCUUGUAAAGGAGACGCCGGGACUCUCCCACCAAUUAGAAAUCUGGAAUUGUUUUCUGCCAGAAAUCUUAAUCAUAUUUGGAGGAAAGAUUCGGAGCUUGACCAUAUUCUUUCUAAUCUUCAAACACUCACAGUUCAUAGUUGUGAUGAUUGGAUAAAUAUUAGAGUCUUCUCAUCAUCUUUGCAAAAUCUCACAAUUGAAUGUGUCAUUUUGUAAAAUGAUGACAAACUUAGUCACACCCUCAGUACUUAAGAAUCUUGUGCAAUUAACGACAAUAAAGGUAGAAUACCGCACUAAAAUGACAGAAGUAGUGGGAAACGAGGGAGACUGUCAUCAGACAAUAGUUGUUAGUAAAUUGAAAUGUUUACAACUAUGCAAUUUGAAGAGCCUCACAAGCUUUUGUCCACGGUAUUACAGCUUCGAGUUUCCUUGUUUGGAAGAAUUAGUUGUGGAAGAUUGUCCUAAGUUAAAGAUCUUUUCUGAGGGAGUUUUAAGCACCCCACAAUUACAGAGAAUAAAACAGUCGAGUUACCGUGAGAAAUGGAGUUGGACAAGUGACCUUAAUACCACCAUAAAACAGUUAUACACAGAAAAGGUACAAAGUUAAUAAGUUCAUAAUGCUACCUAGAUUCCUCGUGUCCUAAUACAAUUAAUUUUAUUACUACUUCAAUAACCAUUGAAGAGUGUUAAUCGUUACUUUGUUAUUGUCUGCAUUUUCUAUUUAUGAUUGCUAUCUAGUGGAAUAAUAUCAGAUUAAUUUUUAGGAUGGACUCUAUAACCCAUAUGAUUUCAACAUCUCUGACACAUUUCCGGAGUCGAUAGAAAUAUGGACUAGAAACCCUCAAGAAAUUUUGGGCAUCAAAAACCUUAGCAGCCUGCAGUUUAUAAAUGUAGCAGCUUUAAGUACAUAUUUACUCCGUCUAUGCUUUUGGGCCUCAAUCUACUACGAAGGAUAAAAGUGAGAGAAUGCAGUUCAAUGGAACAAGUAGUUAGGGAGGUGGAGGAAGCAAUGACACAUAAAUUUACAUUUCUUUCGCUACGCUCCGUAACAAUUGAGUCGUGUUCCAACUUGACAAAUUUCCAUUUGGGAAGUCAAGCUCUUGAAUUUCCACAGCUGUUGAAAAUCACGAUAGCUGAGUGUCCAAAAAUGACUGCAUUUUCUUCCUCAGUUUCAAGAGAGAGUGGUGAUGCAAGCGAAAACGUGGUUGGCAAAGGGGGCAUCUAUGAUAACACUGCAACUUUUUUCAGCAAUAAGGUAAGUUUGGUAUUCAAUAUUUAUCUGCACAACUUAUUUCACAUUUUCUUUUGAUUUGAUCAACAUGAGUGUGUCUGGUCUACAUAUCCAUACUAGUGCUACACCUUGUCAAAAUUUAAUAUAAUAAAAUCCAUAAAAAUAUUAAUAAAUAAGAUGAUGUUUAAAAAAAAAUUGGAGUUUAAAGUAUAAAUAAAUAUAUAAAAUAAGAAUUGAAGGAAAAACUUAAAGUGAAAUACUAAAAAACAAUAAGAAUUUAAGAGAAGUUUAAAAUUAAAUAGUAAUAGACAAUAAAUAAUAAAAUAAUAAUAGAAAAAAGAAAACUAAUCUUCCUUCAUUUUAAUUUGUGGGUGUAUAAGAAGGAGAUAAUUGUGGAAGACCUUCACAAAGGUCAUUUGAGAUCAAAGGAGAAGAAGCCUGAAAACAAAACGUGAGGAGUUUGAAGAAGAAAGAACCAAAUAUAUAGAGGAGAAUUGAAGUGAGAGAGUGGAUGGGUUUUAUUUAAAGAUUUAUUGCUUUUUUUUUAAUUUCAUAUAUAGAAAAAAUCAUUGAAAGAAAAAAAAGUUUAAUAUAAUUAUUUAAAUUUACUUGUCGGGUUUUUAUAAAAGUAACUCAAUUUUUUGAUUAAUUAUGAAAAUGACUCAAUUUAAAAAUAAUGUACAUAAAUUAUUCGAUUUCUAUAGUGUUUGUCGGUGCCUCCAAACACAAUGGCGGCACCGACCUACCAUCAUCGAUCAAUGAUUGUAUUUUAUUUAAAAAAUAAUAGUUUUUUAGUAGUGUUGUUGGAAAAAUUGGCGAAAUCAGACUGAAGUGUGAUUAUAUAAAAUGUUCAUGGACUUAAUGAAGUAAUUACCCUUUUUUAAUUAGCGGAAAAAGGGAUCUUCCCGUGAAUAUGUGGCACCAAAUUAAAUGAUUUUCAUCUUUUGGUCUAUUUGCAUGUUAGGUCUAUCCCCUUUUGAAAUUAAAUUUAAAUAACCCUUAAGAAAUAUAAGAAUAACAAAAAUAAAUCAUUCUCAUUUAUUUUAUUUUAUUUUAAAAAAAUAAACUUAAAAAAUUAUAUAAAAUUCUUAUUUAAAUUACCCAAAUAUAUCCCUCACACAAUUUCCUCAAGUUUAUCUAAAUUCAAGCAUUUUCAAUUUAUUCCCUAGCAUAUUUAAAUUUAGAUAAACUUAAGGAAAUUUUUUAAGAAAUAUAUUUGGGUAAUUUGAAUUAGAAUUUUAUAUAAUUUUUUAAGUAUUUUUUCAAAAAAAAAAAGGGAGGAAUUGGUUGAAGAACAUCAAGGGAGGAGUCAGAUGUUUUUCUCUGAACUAGAAUUGCUGUGGCUAAAAGACCUUCCCAAACUCACAAGUUUCUGCUUUGAGAAUUGCUUUGAAUUCCAAUGUUUGACAGUUUUGGAACUAACAAAUUGUCCAUUGCUAAAAACAUUCAUCUCUAAAUGUGUACCCGGAGAUGAACCUCAAAUUGGCCAACAU